rnacentral:lncRNA from 1 species
UUAUUACAACAUGAGAUGGAGGCUGGGGUGGUAAUCUCUGAGGUUCUCACCUUACCUCAUUCUCAGGCUAGAGAUUUUGUGGAAUUGUUACCGACUGAAACAACAAUCAAUGACAGCAGAGCAACGGCUGGUUCUUCACCACCACCCAUCCAAGAACAAGUGCAAGAUGCCCCUCAGUCGCCAGUACUACAAAUGAGUAAGUUGCAGUUAUUUUGCUCACCUAUGUUUAUUUUCAUUGAUUUUUAUUUAAUGUGUUAUAAUUGAUAAUUCC